AUGGAUUACUCUGAUGAUGCUGUUUAUCAAUGGAUCAAUGACUUUAUCAGAGUAUUGAUCAGGAAUGUUCAGAGAGCCGUGUCUCUCUACAGUGAGAGGUUUUUUACGCGGCUCAAUGACUUUGUAUCACUGUGGUGGACUUUUGGUGGAGGAACCAGACUGAACGUUAACUUGGGUGGAGUCGUCCCCACCCUGACGGUGCUGCCCCCCUCCAGUGAGGAGCUGCAGCAGGGGAAGGCCACGCUCAUGUGCCUGGCCAACAAGGGCUUCCCCUCAGACUGGAGUCUGGCCUGGAAGGUGGACGGCAGCAGCAGCAGCAGCAGCAGCAGCUGGGAGGAGAGCAGGAGCCCCGGGGUGCUGGAGAAGGACGGCCACUACAGCUGGAGCAGCACCCUGAGGCUCACUGCAGACCAGUGGAGGAAGGUGGGCUCUGUGACCUGUGAGGCCACCCAGGGCUCCCAGGCUCUGCUCUCAGAGACACUGAGGAGAGACCAGUGUUCCCAGUCCUGACCUGACUCACUGGGACUCUGCUACUGGUUUCACUCUGAUACUGCUCUCAGUCUGCUCUCUCUCUUGUUCUUUUAUUCUCAUGACAUGUUUCAACAUUAACUUCCUCUUGCUUGUGUUGGUUGUUUCAACAUUUUAAAACAAUAAAGAUUUAGUCAUGUGUAUUAUAAAAGUU